AUCUGCAUCUUCGGGAUGUUGACGGUCUAAGAGCCGGCAAAAAGAUGCCGCCAGGAGCAACUCGGUACCCAAGCAAACCAGAGCUUAUCAGAUUCAUUGUUAGCAAUAAUGGAUGACAUCCCAACUGUGAAUAUGCUGUACCAGAUGUGUUUCCUGAAGCAAAUAUCAUUGAUUAAAGGAAGUCAUUAUCAUCUUGAAAACCAGCACAACCAUGCUACAUUUGAGUAAUGAAUGCCUGGAUCAGCAAUGUAAUGGUUAACAAAGUGUUCUUUUAAAGCGACUUCAAAGGCAAGGUAAAUAUACUUUAAAGAUUCAGAUAAAUUUUGGG
rnacentral:lncRNA from 1 species